rnacentral:tRNA from 1 species
GCCUUUGUGGUGUAGUGGUCAGCACUCUCGACUCGUAUCCGAGAAGUUCGCGGUUCGCCUCCCGGCGAGGGCA